AUUGAACGCUGGCGGCAGGCCUAACACAUGCAAGUCGAACGAGUGGCGGACGGGUGAGUAAUGUCUGGGAAACUGCCCGAUGGAGGGGGAUAACUACUGGAAACGGUAGCUAAUACCGCAUACCAUCGGAUGUGCCCCGAUGGGAUUAGCUAGGAGGUGGGGUAAAGGCUCACCUGGGCGACGAUACCUAGCUGGUCUGAGAGGAUGACCAGCCCAACUGGAGCGGGGACACGGUCCAGACUGCUACGGGAGGCAGCAGUGGGGAAUAUUGCACAAUGGGCGCAAGCCUGAUGCAGCCAUGCCGCGUGUAUGAAGAAGGCCUGCGGGUUGUAAAGUACUUUCAGCGAGGAGGCGUUACUCGCAGAAGAAGCACCGGCUAACUCCGUGCCAGCAGCCGCGGUAAUUC
rnacentral:rRNA from 1 species